rnacentral:rRNA from 1 species
GACGAACGCUGGCGGCGUGCUUAACACAUGCAAGUCGAACGGAAAGGCCCUGCUUGUGUGUUGUGCUGGAUUGGCGGACGGGUGCGUAAGACGUGAGUAACCUGCCCUUGACUUUCGGAUAACUUCAGGAAACUGAGGCUAAUACCGGAUAGGAGCUCCUGCUUCAUGGUGGGGGUUGGAACGUUUCGGCGUGUGGGGAUGGACUCGCGGCUGAUCGGCUUGUUGGUUGGGUAGUGGCUGACCAAGGCUUUGACGGAUAGCCUGCCUGGGCGGGUGACCGGCCACACUGGGCCUGAGAUAGGGCACAGCCUGGAAUGGUAGGCAGCAGUGGAGAGUAUUAUACAGUGGGCGGACGCAGGAUGAGGAGACGCCGCGUGCGGGAAGACGGCAUGUGGGGUGUGAACCGCAGUAGGCUGAGACGAAGCGUGAGUGACGGUAAUGGACAAAGAAGCACCGGCUAACUACGUG